rnacentral:rRNA from 1 species
UGAGUACGAGCUGCUACGGCAGCGAAGUGGGUGAUGUCAAGCUUCCAAGAAAAGCCCUAUACCCGUUAAGGCAUGAUGGCCUGUACCCGAAACCGACACAGGUGGGGUGGUAGAGAAUACCGAGGGGCGCGAGAUAACUCUCUCUAAGGAACUCGGCAAAAUGGCCCCGUAACUUCGGGAGAAGGGGUGCCACCGCAAGGUGGUCGCAGUGAAGAGGCCCAGGCGACUGUUUACCAAAAACACAGGUCUCCGCUAAGUCGCAAGACGAUGUAUGGGGGCUGACGCCUGCCCAGUGCCGGAAGGUUAAGGAAGCUGGUCAGCGUAAGCGAAGCUAGCGACUGAAGCCCCGGUGAACGGCGGCCGUAACAAUAACGGUCCUAAGGUAGCGAAAUUCCUUGUCGGGUAAGUUCCGACCCGCACGAAAGGCGUAACGAUCUGGGCGCUGUCUCGGAGAGAGGCUCGGCGAAAUAGAAUUGUCUGUGAAGAUGCGGACUACGUGCACCCGGACAGAAAGACCCUAUGAAGCUUUACUGUAGCUUGGUAUUGUGCUCGGGCUCGGAAUGCGCAGGAUAGGUGGGAGGCUAUGAACCAUUGCUUGUGGGUGAUGGUGAGCCACUGGUGAGAUACCACUCUUUCCGAGCUAGAGUUCUAACAGCCACCCGUUAUCCGGGGGCUGGACAGUAUCAGGUGGGCAGUUUGACUGGGGCGGUCGCCUCCUAAAAGGUAACGGAGGCGCGCAAAGGUUUGCUCAGGCUGUUGGAAAUCAGCCGACGAGUGUAAAAGCAGAAGCAAGCUUGACUGUGAGACCUACAAGUCGAACAGGGAGGAAACUCGGCUUUAGUGAUCCGACGGUUCUGCGUGGAAGGGCCGUCGCUCAACGGAUAAAAGUUACUCUAAGGAUAACAGGCUGAUCUCCCCCAAGAGUUCACAUCGACGGGGAGGUUUGGCACCUCGAUGUCGGCUCAUCGCAACCUGGGGCUGAAGUCGGUCCCAAGGGUUGGGCUGUUCGCCCAUUAAAGCGGUACGCGAGCUGGGUUCAGAACGUCGUGAGACAGUUCGGUCCAUAUCCGGUGCAUGCGCAGGAAUAUUGAGAGGAUUUCUCCCUAGUACGAGAGGACCGGGAGGAACGCACCUCUGGUGUACCAGUUAUCGUGCCAACGGUAAACGCUGGGUAGCCAUGUGCGGAGAGGAUAACCGCUGAAAGCAUCUAAGUGGGAAGCCCACCUCAAGAUGAGUAUUCCCAUGGGGUAACCCAGUAAGGUCACGGGAAGAACACCCGUUGAUAGGCUCUACGUGGAAGCGCAGUAAUGUGUGAAGCGGAGGAGUACUAAUAGACCGAGGGCUUGAC